rnacentral:tRNA from 1 species
GCAGUCGUGGUCGAGUGGUUAAGGCGAUGGACUAGAAAUACCUUGGAGUCUCCCCGCACAGGUUCAGAUCCUGUCGACUACG